UGGGGAAUUUUGGACAAUGGGCGAAAGCCUGAUCCAGCAAUGCCGCGUGUGUGAAGAAGGCCUUCGGGUUGUAAAGCACUUUUGUCCGGAAAGAAAUCCUUGGCUCUAAUACAGUCGGGGGAUGACGGUACCGGAAGAAUAAGCACCGGCUAACUACGUGCCAGCAGCCGCGGUAAUACGUAGGGUGCAAGCGUUAAUCGGAAUUACUGGGCGUAAAGCGUGCGCAGGCGGUUUGCUAAGACCGAUGUGAAAUCCCCGGGCUCAACCUGGGAACUGCAUUGGUGACUGGCAGGCUAGAGUAUGGCAGAGGGGGGUAGAAUUCCACGUGUAGCAGUGAAAUGCGUAGAGAUGUGGAGGAAUACCGAUGGCGAAGGCAGCCCCCUGGGCCAAUACUGACGCUCAUGCACGAAAGCGUGGGGAGCAAACAGGAUUAGAUACCUUGGUAGUCCACGCCCUAAACGAUGUCAACUAGUUGUUGGGGAUUCAUUUCCUUAGUAACGUAGCUAACGCGUGAAGUUGACCGCCUGGGGAGUACGGUCGCAAGAUUAAAACUCAAAUGAAUUGACGGGGUCAUAGCUGUUUCCU
rnacentral:rRNA from 1 species